rnacentral:lncRNA from 1 species
AUUCGGGUUCGGGUCGGUAUAAUCAAAAUUCAUAUACGAAUCCAUAUCCAUGAGGCUUCUAUUUUUUAUAUCAAUAUCCAUCAGAUAUAUCAGUUUCAUUCGGAUAUUAUCAGUUUCAUUCUGAACCCAUCAGUUUCAUUCGGAGGGUUCAGGUUCGGAUAAAAUUUCGGGUAUCUAUGCACAUUGACGUACCUAGACCCGCCGGUUCUCUUCUUCACCCCAAAUACCAAGAUCUGUCGGACCCCCCUUUCUCCCUUCUCGAUCCUCCCAUCGCCCUCUCCGAGCUCUGAGGAUGCCCUAGUUCCGUCGUUCCGCCGGAGUUCCACCCUCACGCCCUCACGCCCUCACGCCGCCGGAGUUCUACCAAGCUCGCGCCUUCCUCAACCUGCUGCGGCCCUUAUUUCUGUUUACUAUGCAAAGUUAACACUUUUAUUUACCUCCUCUGUUAACUACUGCUACUUAUACUUCAGGUCAUUACAUUUUUCGUUUCUGUUUUCCUCCAUAGAUCUGGUCUUUCAAGUGCAUAUUGGGAAAAGGCAGAUCGUCAUCCCUUUUUAUCCUUUUUCAUUUCUAUUUUCCUCCAUAGAUCUGGUCCUUCAAGUGCAUAUUCGGAACGGCAGAUCCACAUUUUUUUAUGAAUAACCCUUUCCUUGGAAUUAUUUAGCAGAUAAUUUGUUGUCGACGGGAUCCGGUGAUGUCGAAGUCGGGAGCUCUAGAUCUUGCUUCUGGGGUGGGAGGAAAGAUCGAGAAGAAUGAAGUCAAAUCGGCCGUCGAACAGUAUAUUUCUUCACUUGCCCUCUAGUUCCAUCUCUCUCUACCAUAAUAUUUUGUUGAUCACUUUUUUGCUUCUAGUUAUUUUGAUAUAUUAAAAUAAAACUAUGGUAGAAAAUGAAAAAUAAAAGUUGAAAAAGGGCAGGUUAAUCAUGUUAGAAAAGAUAUCAGGUCAUUGUAGUAAUUUCCCGUGUAUAAAAGCUUUCUACAUAUCUCUCUGAUAUUGGAUGAUUCUUGUGUUUUCCUAUGUAUAAAAUCUUUGUAUGAAUAUAUAUAUAGUGUAGGGCUACUAUACUCUUAUCAGCAUAGAACUCUUUGUCCUCAUAAGUUGUUUUCAAUAAUAGAACUUCCGAAUCAACGAUCUAUACCAUUAAAUAUGAUUUAGAGCAUUUGAAACUUUUAGGAAAUGAAUUUCGUAAUUUUUCGAAAUCAUAAUAAAGUUAAUCAAGCAGGCAUAAAAUGAAUGGUCAAAAUUGAACAACUUUCUAAAAAUAGAGGAUCACAUUCUUCAAUGUAAGAUCAAAGUUAUAGAUCUCUAUCUAGAUAAUGAAUAGAAUUUUCUAUCAAAAAUUUAACCGAUUCCGAUUCUUCUAUACCGUUAAACUAACGAGCAUCUCAUACCGGCCGUUAAAAAUUGUCAAUCUUGAGAUCUUUUGAUCGUAAGGUAAAUAAUGUUGAAAAAUUAUGGAAUUUGGUUUUAGAAGUUUCAAAUGCUCUAAAUCAUGUUUAACGGUAUGGAUCGUCGAUUCGAAAGCUCUAUAAUCGAAAAAUGACUUAUGACUACGAAGUUGAUGGUACUCAUAAGAGUAUAGUAGUUACUCUCUCUCUCUCUCUCUCUCUCUCUCUCUCUCUCUCUAUAUAUAUAUAUAUAUAUAUAUAUGUAUGUAUAUAGUCUGACUAUUGUGCUUUAAAAAGCACCAAGCAUUUGGUGCUUGGAAGUUUCUCAUCAUUAGAUCUAUCCCUUUGACCAAUUUCACCCCUUAGAGUAUACUAUUCCGCCAACCACCUACUCAACCUUAGGAGACCACUAUCGUCCUAAUCGCACAACCCUUCAUCCAAGGGCCGAAAACCUACAAAUACCAAUAACUUCGUGCUUUUAAAAGCAUAGGAGCUGAAUUAUAUAUAUAUAUAGAGUUCAGCUACAACCUACAAUGUUAUCAAUAGCACCAAGCACUUGGUGCUACCAAGUUUUUCACCAUUAGAUCUAGUCCUUUGAUCAUUUUCCAUCCAUUAGAUCAUACUAUUCCACCAACCACCAACUAAAUCCUAGGGGAUCACUAUCAUCCUAACUGCACAUCCCUUUAUCCAAGGGCUGAAAACCUGAUAGCACCAAUGACUUGGUGCUAUUAAUAGUAUAGUAGCCUAGUUCUAUAUAUAUACACAUACAUAUAUAUAUAUAUAUACACAUAUAUAGAGUGAGGCUGGUAUCAGUGAUUAAAAAAGCGCGCCUUAGGCGCGCACCUAGGCGCCUAGGCGCUAGGCUCACUGGCCAGCGCCUAGGCAGCCCCUAGGCGAGCACCAUUGCCUAGGCGCACGCCUGGGCUGCCUAGGCGCGCGCCUAGGGCAAGGCGCAAGGCGCAAGAAAGGCGCGCUUAAUAUAUAUUUGAUACUACCGGGUUUGGAUCUAAAAAUAUAUGCUUUAAUGGGUUUGAAUCCUAUAUUUAUUGGUCUAAUGGGUUUAAAACAUGUAAAAUAAACCCAAAACCAAUCUAAUCUAAAGUUCUAAACCCUAAACAUCUAUCCGCUCCAUCUCUCUCUCGCCGAGUCUGCUCCCUCUCCUCUCGCUGAGUCUGCUCCCUCUCCCUCUCUCCGCUCGGACCGAUCCUCUCUGCCACUCGUCCAUCACCUCCGAUUGCCUCCGGCUAUCCCUCUCUGCUUCUUCAACUCAACUCGCCUCUCCCUCUAUAUUAAGGCGCGCUUUUUUAAUCACUGCUUUCAGAUGAUUAUGAUGCUUUUUUAAUGAUUUUUGGCUUGAAACUUUAAACUUUUAUGCAUAUUACUUUUUAUGAUCUUGUGCUUAUAAUUAUAUGAUUUUCACAUCAAAAUUUCCUAUAUGUUUGUGAAUUAAUAGUUACCUUUAUGUUGGCCUUUAUUUGGAGAUAAAAAAAGGUAAUUUGUUCUUUACUUUUAUCUAUGUUAUUUUCUUUUUCAAAAUUAUCAUAUAUGUUGUUUGGCUUGUUUUCUUUUCUUAAUUUUUUUCCUUUUGGAAACGUAAUUAUUUGGGUAAUUAUAGAAUAUUUAUUGUGAUAAUAUGAUUUUAUAGAGUAUAUUUAGUGCUACUUAAUAAUUAUUAGAAAGUAUAGUAAGACACUUCUUGGUUAUUUACUUAUUUCAAAAUUCUAUGAAAGUGUGCGCUUGACCUCUCUCGGGCGCGCGCUUGCGCCUUGCGCCUUGCGCCUAGGCUCCAACAGCCCUUUGCGCCUAGGAGCGCCUUGGGCUUUUUUAAACAGUGGCUGGUAUGUUUCUGGAAGCACGGAGCCCUUCGUGCCUUCAAGUCGUUUUCGAUGUUGGAACUUUUGAAUUGACGAUUAGCUCCAUUAGACUUGAUCUAGAAUAUUACAUAUAUAUACACACACACACAUACAUAUACAAAGAGUAGGUCUUGUGUGCUAUUAGGAGCAUGGAGGCUCCUAAGCCGUUUUCGAUGAUGUAACUUACAAAUCGAUAAUCGACUCUAUUAGACUUGAUCUAACGUAUUUGAACUAUCUAGAAUAUAAAUUUUACUGUUUUUCGAUAUCGUUUAUCUAGUAAUCGAAAAAACUCAAAAUCAACGGUUGAAAAUAAAAAUCUCACAAAAAGUUAUGAUGUAGCACUGAAAUUUUCGAUCAGAGAUAUUGAUCUUGUUGUAGAUAGUAUAAAGAAUUUUCUAUCAAAAUUUCAUCUGAUUUGAAUACUUCUACACUGUUAAACUUGCAAACGGUAUACAUCAACCAUUAAAAAUUGUUGAUUUUGAAUCUUUUUGAUCACUAGGUAAAUGAUAUCAAAAAUUCAAAAAAAUUAUUUUCUAAAUACUUCAAAUACGCUAGAUCAAGUCUAACUGAGCCGAUUGUCGUUUCGAAAGUUCCACCAUCGAAAACGGC